rnacentral:rRNA from 1 species
GGGGGGUGCAAGCGUUGUUCGGAAUUAUUGGGCGUAAAGCGCGUGUAGGCGGUUUGUUAAGUCUGUUGUGAAAGCCCUGGGCUCAACCCAGGAAGUGCACUGGAUACUGGCAGACUUGAAUACGGGAGAGGGUAGUGGAAUUCCUGGUGUAGGAGUGAAAUCCGUAGAUAUCAGGAGGAACACCGGUGGCGAAGGCGGCUACCUGGACCGAUAUUGACGCUGAGACGCGAAAGCGUGGGUAGCAAACAGGAUUAGAUACCCUGGUAGUCCACGCCGUAAACGAUGAGUACUAGGUGUUGCGGGUAUUGACCCCUGCAGUGCCGCAGCUAACGCAUUAAGUACUCCGCCUGGGAAGUACGGUCGCAAGACUA